ACUCUGAGGAUCCACUCAAAACUCGCCGGUAUUACGAAGCCAUCCUGGUAGAUACUGAUUCGAUUGAGGUCGAACACUCAGUAAAUGAAGGAUAUCCAGAACAUAUCGGCUAUUCCAAGUUUACCAUUAAGAGGGACUUAACCCCUUUCAGUUGGUUUGUCGACCACCUAAACACUCCAGUUGCACUAUCAAUGCCUCAUAGGCCCCAGACUUACAAUUGGCACGACUAUAAGUCGGCGUGGUUCAACUUCCUAUUUGAUCGCCCAGACCACACCUGGUUUGUUAAAUAUUGCCCCACUAUGAUGGAAGCCAUCAUACCAAGAUGGUUUUAUGAAUGGUGGUUAUGUUUCGGAGGAAACCAAAGGUCAUACUCUGCCUGCUCCCUUACCGGUCAAAAGCAUUCCUAGCGCUAUUUAAUCAAGAACGAAAGUUAGGGGCUCAAAGGCGAUCAGAUACCGUCCUAGUCUCAACCAUAAUCAAUGCCGACCAGGGAUCAGCGGAUGUUGCUUUUAGGACUCCACCGACACCUUAUGAGAAAUCAAAGUUUUUGGGUUUCAGGGGGAGUAUGGUCGCAAGGCUGAAACUAAAAGGAAUUGACGGAAGGGCACCACCAGGAGUGGAGCCUGCGGCUUAAUUUGCUCAACACGGGGAAACUUACCAGGUCCAGACAUAACAAGGAUUGACAGACUGAGAGCUCUUUCUUGAUUCUAUGGGUGGUGGUGCAUAGCCAUUCUUUGUUGGUGGAGCGAUUUGUCUGGUUAAUUCCGUUAACGAACGAGACCUCAGCCUGCUAACCAGCUAUGCGGAGGUAUCCCUUCGCGGCCAGCUUCUUAGGGGGACUACGGCCUUUUAGGCCGCGGAAGUUUGAGGCAAUAACAGGUCUGUGAUGCCCUUAGAUGUUCUGGGCCGCACGCGCACUACACUGAUGUAUUCAACUAGUUUAUAGCCUUGGCUGACAGACUCGGGUAAUCUUUGAAAUUUCAUCGUGAUGGGGAUAGAUCAUUGAAAUUGUUGGUAUUCAACGAGGAAUUCCUAGUAAGCGCGAGUCAUCAGCUCACGUUGACUACGUCCCUGCCCUUUGUACACACCGCCCGUCGCUCCUACCGAUUGAAUGAUCCGGUGAAAUGUUCGGAUCGCGGCGACGUGGGCGGUUCGCUGCCCGCGACGUCGCGAGAAGUCCAUUGAACCUUAUCAUUUAGAGGAAGGAGAAGUCGUAACAAGGUUUCCGUAGGUGAACCUGCGGAAG
rnacentral:rRNA from 1 species